rnacentral:lncRNA from 1 species
UCUUGGUCACCUGUUGGGGCAGCCUGCUCCUUUUCCCUGAGUCUGUGAGUCUGGAGAGAACUGGAACCGGAUCUUGGGAGCUUCAGAGAGGAGUCGGACUGGAUGGCUGCUUCCUGACUUGGUUGGACCUCUCCCCAUCUGCCAACCCCAGGAACCCUUGCCCUGACUCCUUAAUUGGCAGUCUGGGCAGGGGCCACCGAGCCCAGCCAGUGCCACCCAGCCUGUGCAGAGCUGUUGAAGACUUGUUGCCCCUGAGGAGACCAGGCUCCAGCAGCAAGGCCACACCAAGGUCCCAGACCUCAGUCACAUCUGGGUCCCCCUUGCCCAGCCACAUGCAGACUUAGCCCGUGGUUGGCCCUGGGGCCCCCUUCUGCUCCCACUGUAUGUUCUAGGAGCAGGUUUCUGCUGCCCUGGGCUGCUUGGCCUCCCCUUAGGGGCCUGUGGGCCUGGCACCAGGCGCAGCCUCCCUCAGCUCAGCUGCCUCUUGAACUCCAAGCUGCCCUGGCCCUACCCAUCCCCUCUACCAGCCUUCUUUCUCCAUUCCUAAGCAGUUCAGUUCUGACGCAUCCCAUCCCUGCGUGAAACAGACCUUGGAAAAUCAGAGCUGCCAAGGAUGGACUGGCAUUUAAAAGGCAUCCAAGACUUGAGAGGAAGGCGGAAGAGGGGAGAGAGUGCAGGGCCCUGUCCCUGGACAGCAGCUGGAUUUAGUGGAUGGAAAAUCACAGAAUGCACCCUUCCCUGGGAAGCACCCCGGGAAGAGGGGGGCAAGUGGGGUACCAGGCAGCAUGCCCCACUGGCCACCACCCGCAGUCACCACCACAUGCUCCCAAAGUGAAAAGAUGUGUGAGGGCCGUCGGGAGUCUGCAGCCGACAGCCUUGUAAAUUGUGUUCUCUUAGCAGGUUUAUUCGUUUAUGAAAUAUUGAAGCCCCAUUUCGCUUUAC